rnacentral:tRNA from 1 species
GAAAAUUUAGUUAAAAUAAUAACAUAAAUUUGUCAAAUUUAAAUUAAUAUAAAAUUAAUUUUCU